ensembl:lncRNA novel transcript
AGUCAUCUCUACAUGAUAUCCCACAGAUGCCAUAAGAGGUUAAAUAAAUUGAUGACCAAGAAAUCUCUAUUUGAUUUACCAACAUGUAAGUCAUUGGCCACCUGAGAAAGAUUCACUGAAGCAAUCAAGACCAAGCUGAUUGCAAUGAUGUCGCUCAUCAGGCUUUCUGGAAACAGAUGGGAUAGAGUUUGAGGGAAGAGAUGUCUAUUAAGGAUCAAUAUUUGUGAAAGGAAGGGGAGGAGGAAAGAUUGGUCAGAGAAAGAGGUUGAACAUGAUGCAAGCCUGACAAAAAUUCAGCCGACCAGACUGAGGCCUCUGGAGUAAAUGCGGCCCAAUACUUAUCGUCCUUCAGGCCAACAUAGCCAGCCUUUGUGAUUUUGCCUUGCUCGUGGUUAUCUGUGGGCCAUCCUGGGAAGGUCAUGAUCUGUACAAGAUGACAUUGCACAAUCAUGAACAGUUUCCAUUCUGUUCUCUCCAGGAAAACAGUAGGCUAUAUGUACAUUCUCCUAAAGUAGUCUGGAGCAUAAGCACAAUCUUCAGCUUUAUUUGCAAAUUUGAGAAAUGGAUAAAUGCUCAACAGGCAUUUUUGGAUUAGUUGCACUAUUAUCAGUGAAAGAAGAAAGUAUUUUAAAAGCUUACCAGGUGGGUACUUAUAAGAACAGAGAAAUUUUCUCCUGAACAUGAUGUAUACCUCCAAACCCACAGAAGAAAAUGUGGCAUCUACCUAAUGCUCUCAAAUUGUAGUGAACAUAAUAAUCACCUCUGUAUUGGAGAUUUGGUAUUUUUGGCCACUAGGCACCCAAUCUCUCUUUUUAUUAGCACCAUGUGCUGGAUUGUCUGUUUCGACUUGGACAGUAAAGCACCAGGUCUAAGGCCCUGUGCAGAAAAUAGUUAACACAGCAGACCUGAAACUGCUGCCUUAAAAAAUCCUGCUUGAAAAGUUGGCUUUGGGUUGGUGUCUGGGGACUUGGAUUUUGAGAGGAUUUCCACCAUUCCCAGAACUGAUAAGAGUGGCUUGCUGUGCCUAGACUGUUUGUACAAACAAUAUGAUUUACGCUGAACAUCUGCUUUACCCUGGAAGUCUGGAAUGUUGGCUCAUGCUGGGCAGAGGGUACUUAUGUGACCAGCCCUCAAUAAAAACCUUGGGUACUAAGUCUUUAACACGCAGACUUAGGAAACAACAUUUCAAACAUGCUGUCAUAAACUGUUGCUGGAGGAAUUAAGUAUGUGUGCGACUCUACAGGAGAAGAAUUCUUGGAAGUUUGUACCUGGUUUCCUCUGGACUUCACUCAUUGUGCCCUUUCCUUUUGCUUGUUUUGCUUUGAAUCCUUUCACUGUAAUAAAUCAUAGCCA